rnacentral:rRNA from 1 species
CAAAUUUUAAAUCACCUAGGUUACCUGGGCGAGUUGUAAUUUGAAGAAAGUGUUUUGAUGCUCUGGUUUUGUCUAAAUCCUUUGGGAUAAGGUAUCAUAGAGGGUGAGAAUCCCGUUCAUGAUUUAAACCCUGGGUGUCACCUAAUUCACUUUCUAAGAGUCGAGUUGUUUGGGAUUGCAGCUCAAAAUGGGUGGUAAAUUUCACCUAAGGCUAAAUAUAUGCAAGAGACCGAUAGCGAACAAGUACCGUGAGGGAAAGAUGAAAAGAACUUUGAAAAGAGAGUUAAAUAGUACGUGAAAUUGUUGAAAGGGAAACGAUUGAAGUCAGUCAUGCUUGCAGGGAAUCAGCAAGGG